AAGAGUUACUAUAAGCACUUAUCAAUGUUUUGGUAAAAGAUGAAAGUAUCUUUAGAAUGGGUCCAUUAUUAAGAGUUGAUCAUUUAUGCGCUAAUUUCAUCUAAUAUAAAUAUUCAACUGAUUGCUUUUUGACACAGUGGUAAUAUAAUAUUUUGUAUUGAUUGCUUCAAUGCUUUUAGCCAGGUCUUAAUGAGAAAUUAAAAUGCAUAAAGCAACAUUCAAUGUUGGAAGUUUCUUUGAUUAAUAUUCAGGUUCAAGGUUAGGAAAUCAAUCAAAGAGACUGCCUUAAUUCUCUCUAAUGAUGAUGUUGAUGGUGGCAGGGCUUGGCAAGGCGAGGUGUAGGCUCGAUGCAUGGAGGUGGGACUGUGGGGAUGGUGUUGUAACAGCGGGGACUUCAAUGCGACUAGGGUACCGUUGCUGUGAAGAAAAUGGUUUAUUUUGAUUACAUCCCCACUUAUCUAAAAGGGUAAUGACGAUUUUUUAUUCUUAGGCAUCAUCUUUGAUUAUUUUUUAUAAUAAUUAUUAUAUAUUAAAAUAACUCAUGAGUUUGAAGAAAAAUAAUACAGUUUUGGUUUUUUCUUCUGUUUAUCUGGAUUUAUGGCUUGAUAGAGAUGAUAAUGGGUUUUAAGUCUCAAAUACAGUAGUUUUAAGGAAAAACUGAAGUUUAGGUUUAUAUUUUUGCAUUGAAUAGUAUUUUUAUUUUUUUCUAUGAAGUUUCAGGAAAGAUAAAUACAACAUUUAAAUUUGUGAUUAACUUAUUUAGUUCUAGUUGGCCAAAUUCUUAGACAAUUCGCAGUUAAUGUAAUAGGGUGUUCAUGUAAGAUGUUAAUGAUGUUGGGUAUUAUGGUCUUGCAGCUAAGCUUUUAUGGAGGGGUGCUGAGUGUUGGAAUGAGUGUUUAAAGCUUUUGGGUGUUGCUGAAGCAGCAGAAGCAUCAAUGGAUUCUGACCAGUUAAGCUCUGGAAUUUCAGAUUUUGAUACUCACUUUCAAGGCCUC